rnacentral:misc_RNA from 1 species
AACGCACAUUGCGCCCCUUGGUAUUCCGAGGGGCAUGCCUGUCCGAGCGUCAUUGCACCCCCUCACGCCCCGCGUGGUCUUGGGGCCCGCGUCCCCAGCGGCCCUGAAAGCCAGGAGCGGUGCCCGGUGGGCUCUAAGCGUAGUCAUCCACCCUCGCUUCUGGGCCCCCCGGGUGCCUGCCACCCCCGAACCCUUCAGGUUGACCUCGGAUCAGGUAGGGAUACCCGCUGAACUUAA